ACUUUACUGCGCUGGAAAAACAAAAACAUUUGAACAUGUCAUUUUUAUGACCAUCCAUCUCUUGGCUUUAUUUGUUAGCUCAGCUGUUUUAGGGGUGACUCUGCAGUGCUGGGAACACAGGAUACACUGGCUUGAACCAUCCUGCUAUCUAAUAAUAAAGAAGAUAAAUCAUACGAACACGCUGCCCUAAAACACGGAGUGUAACUAAUGGCUUCAUACUAUGGGGCUGGAGGGGCACCUGAGAUGCUCAGGAGGAGUUUGCUCCUUCAGCUUUGAAGAUCUAUGCUUUCCACUUUGAUUAUCUAAACUCUUAAAUAGAAUAAGCAGAUGCUGUUGACUGUCUUCGAGAUGAUCGUCCAUUCUCAGAGUCCCGACACUUCUCUCGUCUGUCUCUUCCUCUCUCUCGAACUCUGCCC